rnacentral:rRNA from 1 species
UACGUAGGUGGCAAGCGUUGUCCGGAUUUACUGGGCGUAAAGAGCGCGCAGGCGGUCGUUCAAGUCGCGUGUGAAAGCCCCCGGCUCAACUGGGGAGGGUCACGCGAUACUGAUCGACUCGAAGGCAGGAGAGGGUAGUGGAAUUCCCGGUGUAGUGGUGAAAUGCGUAGAUAUCGGGAGGAACACCAGCGGCGAAGGCGGCGCUCUGGGCCGGAACUGACGCUGAGGAGCGAAAGCGUGGGUAGCAAACAGG